CAAAAUGUAGCUAAAUUAGUAAAGCACCUCCCUUACACCGAGGAGAAGCCCAUGCAACUUGGGUCAGUUUGA
rnacentral:tRNA from 1 species